rnacentral:rRNA from 1 species
UACAGAGGUGGCAAGCGUUGUUCGGAAUUACUGGGCGUAAAGGGCGCGUAGGCGGCCUGCUAAGUCGAACGUGAAAUCCCCGGGCUCAACCUGGGAACUGCAUUUGUGACUGCAUGGCUGGAGUGCGGCAGAGGGGGAUGGAAUUCCGCGUGUAGCAGUGAAAUGCGUAGAUAUGCGGAGGAACACCGAUGGCGAAGGCAAUCCCCUGGGCCUGCACUGACGCUCAUGCACGAAAGCGUGGGGAGCAAACAGG